AUUUUUAUUCUUUUAUUAUAA
rnacentral:tRNA from 1 species